AGAAAAGAGAAUUGGAUCCCCAUACCUCAUCACCACUUUGACACCAUUAUAUAACUUUCCAAAGCUCCAUUGAUCAAAGAAGAAACAAAACAACCUUAACCAACCAAACAUCAUCAAAAGAACAGAUUUUGAGUUUUUGACAAUGUCAUUCUCAAACAACUACCAACCAUACAACUACCUCCAGCCUUACUACUGCAGGGAAGCAUCAUACACAGAUGAUGAUCUCUGUGGUAACUAUGGCUACACUUACACCUACCCUGCGAAGACGAUGACAUCAUCAUUGUCGGAGGUUUCGAGCUAUGCCAGAGCUCCCCCUCCACCUCCUCCUCCGCAUCAUCGUCGUCCUCGUGAUAAUGAAGUGAUGAGCAGUGGGAAUGUUGACAGAGUAGCUGAGGAGUUCAUCAAGAUGGAGCACAAGCAGUGGAGCAAGAACAUGUCCAAUAGGUAUGGCUAAUGGCUAAUGUGUUUAUAACAUGAUUAUGAAGCUUUUUACCAAUAAAAUGUGAUGUUUGGCUUGUGUUUGUGUUGAUGUUUGGUUGUUGUAUGGUUUCGAAGAUUGUAACUUUUCUCUUUGGUGGGUUUGCUCCAAUAAUUCUUCAGAAACUAUUACAUGUGGUUAGUUGUUGCUUUAUGGAUGGAUAACCCAAAUAAUCAAAACCCAAUUGACCAUCAAUCAUCCAUAACCCAAUUGGCCAUUUGAAUAACCCAAAAAACCCAACGUAAUCUACCUAAAUCUAGUUAAUUGAUCCAUAACCAAUCCGUUUACCGGUCUACAAACAAAAUUAAUCGAAUUACAAAUCACUCUAAAUCAAAUGGCUUCAAAUCAUUGAUCAAUUUUUUUCUGAGUUGCUCAAGUCAAGCUUCAGCUUGACCAUAUCAUGAAAAAUUCAAAGCAUCGCUCAUUAAAAUAGUCCAUUAUAAUCUCUAUAUAAUCAAACCACUCAUCAAAAUAAUCCAUAUAUAACUAGAACUCAUCCACGAUUUAACUACAUUAUAUAGUAAAAUUACAUAUUGUUAGACUCAUCGGUCGAUAUCCUGAUACGAGUUUCAGGAAACAUGAAACCCUUUACCAAUAACAUUCCUUGACAACAAAUUGGGUUCAAUGAUCAAAUCCGAUCCUUUCAUUAACCACUUCUUCAGCAACAACGACAGCAACAUCAAACCCCAACAAAGGAGAUCAAAAACAUCAUCAUCGGAAGCAAAUUAAAACCCCAAAGAUGAAACCUUUUUUAAUCUAAAUCUAAUCCUUGAAAUCUACAUCAUAUGGAUCUACAUAGAGGGCAAGUAACGUGACGGUUAUCGAACCACUUCUGAAGACAACCUUUGUGGAAGAAAUGCUUACAAGACAACUCACUCACUUCCUCUUCAUCCUCAAACCCACACAAACACACACAGCAACAACACUCUGUUCCAUUUCCGCCAUUGUCGCCCUUCGAAGAACCUUCACAGCUCAGCAAUCUGAACUGGGUAAUCGAUAUUCUCCUACUCUUUUGUUCCAAGUCACGAUCUUGAUGACCAUGAUGAUCGAUGAUUGGAGAAGAAGCCAUGAAAACAAGCUGAAGCAGAGAUCUGAGCAUGUUCUUGAGCAAGGCGACUGAGAUUACUGUGUUGACUACUAGCAGAGGUAGAAUUCCUCCUGAAGGUGUUGGGAAGCUCGAGAGCCCCAUUUGAACCGGAUCGGUCGGACCGAAUUGGGUUGGUUAUUGGAUUGUUUGGUGAGAUUUGAAGAAGGGGGAAACAGAGGAAACAGAGAAGAACAGAGGUUUUUUACGUUUCUAAGGCAGGGGAAUUUUUCAAAGGGAUUGGGUUGUGAGGUUUGUAUAAAUAGUAAUCAGGGUUGGGUUUUGGUGAUUGAUUGGCUCGGUUUUAAAACAUUCGGUUAAUGGAUAGUGUUUUUAACCAUGGUGGAGGGUUAGGGUUAACCCUGGUUUAGAGGUUGGAAGGUGUAAGGGUGAAGGACACGUGGCUACACGUGUAAGGUUUGUGGGGGAGGAGGGGAGUGAUUGUUGAUUGUAAUUGGUAAGGGGGGUAAGAGGUUGUUUGUUUGAGGAGAUUUGGUGGGUGGGUUUAGAGAUUUGGUUGGAUUACAAAAAUUAGAGGUGAUGUAUCCUCAUUCGGAACUUUCGGGUGUAGGGUUUCUGUGAUUUCGAGUGACUUGGGAGAUUUUACCAUUCGUGUUAAGGAUGUCGUUCUAUGUUUCAUGAUGAAAAUUAUCGUGAAUAUCACUUUUUUCUUGUGUGUUAUAUUUAUAAUAGAGGUGAUUUGUGGAAAUAUAAAAUUUUUUAAUGGUUGGUUCGAGGAGGUGUCUAAUUGAAAUUUUCAAUGCCUAAAACAUCUUAAGUCUCUUUUAAGAGAGGAUUUUUCAUCUUAUCAAAAGAAAAAGUUAUUUUUAACGUGAUUUGCAUAAUGAGACGGUCUCUUUCAAAAUAUAAAUUUCAAAAUUCUCAUAUCACUCUCGGUCAACUGUAACAUACCUAGAUACCAAAUCACCUCUAUUUUUCGAUCCAAAUAGCCGAUUCGGAUCAAAUCUCCAUAAUCCCCACCACUUUCCAAACACCUUACACACAAACAACCCCUAAAGUUUAUAGAAAUGGGACAAAAGGACACGUGUUGUUUAGGAAGUUUGGGAGGAAAGAACUCGAAGAACAAGUGAGUGAACCAACCAACGGCGGAGAUUCAAAACCAACCCCAAAUAAUUGGGACAAAAGGGUUACUUUCAGUUUACAAAAGAAGAAGGUUCUUGAUCUCAUAUGACUAGGGGGAAAUGAUGCGGUGUCGCUUUUGUGUUGAACUUGCCUUAUGGGGGUGGGGGACCAACCUCUUCCCCUAUUUCGUGGCUGGAUUUGGUCUCAACUUAACAUCAAUGUAGUAUGAUAUUUUCUUGUUGUUGAUGUUGUGUUGUUACUAGGAAUAGUAAUGGUUCAUAGUAUAUAGUGAGUAGUGGUGACCAUAUUUAUAUAGGCUCAAUAUCUAUGUUUGUUUUUUUUGGUGGGUUGUAAUUUAAGAUUUGGGGUUAACGGUGUAUAUGAGAUGAUUGUAUCUAACAAAUUUGUUUUCGUAACUAACAAGUCUAGCCAGCUCAAAAUUUAAUUAGAUUGUUUUAGGCUUACUCAGAUAUUAUCAUGUUGCGUCGCCGACAUCCUAACUCAGGUCUAACUCAAUCUUGGCCACUCACUUUCAAUGGAUUGACUCUCCUUAUAUCUAAAGAGUUAUAAAAAUCAAAAUGACUUUAGCAUUUAUAACAUAUCAGACACACGACCUGACACGCUUAGACCGUAUUCUCACACAAGUUAUGUGCCUAAAGUUGGUCAUAUGUCUACGGACAUACUCUUCAUGUCUUAAACUUGUUCGACUUCAUAGUCUCACGCAUUGACGGAGCCAGAAAAUUGGACGAGGAAGUUCGAAAUUCUUACCUAACAUAUGAUGGGAAACAAUUAGAAAUCCAACCUAAAAUUUUAGUGAUCGACGGCACAUAUAUCUACACUAACAACAAUAAUCAAAACUCUUAAGAAAUAUUUUUUAACUUCAUUUUGAUAUUAUUUGAAGGGAUUAACAUGGUGAAACCUCAACUUUUAGUCAUUCCCAACAUAUAUAUUAAAUAUUAGCUAAUUUGAAAUUUUUCAAUUUUAUCUCAAAAUUGGUCAAUUUCCGUGUGUUAUAUUAAGGGAAUUUAACCAUUUUUCACAAGAAAAUUUCAAAUUUUUAAAUCAAUUAAUAUUUGACAUGCAUGUUGAAAAUGACUAAUAAAUUAAAUUUUAUUAUCAUAAUUUCUAUAAAUAAUGAAAAAAUUAAGUUAAAUUGUUAUGCUAGUUUUAAAACAUUUUACAUUAACUUAUUUUUUAUUUUGUUUAGUUCAAAUAACUGUUCCAAAGUCUUCAGGCCACAACAAAUCUUGCUUUCUGGCUUUACUAGAGUGAAAAGACAUAUUCACCCAUUUUCUCAGUCAUCAAAGGCAUCAAAUUUUCAACCAGAAACAUCACUUUCACCCCCAUUUUAGUGUUGCAAGUUAGAAUUGAUGCUUGUCUGUAGAUUGAAGUUGACUGGAAUUGAUGCUUAGUCCAUGGUCUGUAGUGGGUUGCUUCAUAUUCAAGCAUACGCAUUCCGUAGAGGGUGGAAUCAGUGAGGCUAAUGUUUUGAUGCUAGUUGACACACCAUAGAAGCUAGAGAUGGUACUGGCUCGAUCUCUGUUUACACGAUUUAACCGGUUCAACGAUGAAGGGAUCGUACUGCUUGUGGGAUUUAAGGACCUGUACGGUGGUCCGGGUUACAGAACAUGUUCUCUGCUGCUCCACUAAUGGUGUUGUUCAAUGUUCUGUAUUCCAUCACAGGUGAGAAUCUCUCAGAGUUCAUCAUAUCCUUUCC
rnacentral:lncRNA from 1 species